CUGCCCUCAAGCACGGCUUGUGUGUUGGGCCGCGUCCCCCCGGGGACGGGCCCGAAAGGCAGCGGCGGCACCGCGUCCGGUCCUCGAGCGUAUGGGGCUUUGUCACCCGCUCUUGCAGGCCCGGCCGGCGCCAGCCGACCCAACCAAUCUUUCUCA
rnacentral:misc_RNA from 1 species